GACGAACGCUGGCGGCGUGCUUAACACAUGCAAGUCGAGCGGUAAGGCCCUUUCGGGGGUACACGAGCGGCGAACGGGUGAGUAACACGUGGGUGACCUGCCCUCAGCUCUGGGAUAAGCCUGGGAAACUGGGUCUAAUACCGGAUAUGACUCCAUGACGCAUGUUGUGGGGUGGAAAGCCUUGUGCGGCUGAGGAUGGGCCCGCGGCCUAUCAGCUUGUUGGUGGGGUGANGGCCUACCAAGGCGACGACGGGUAGCCGGCCUGAGAGGGCGACCGGUCACACUGGGACUGAGACACGGCCCAGACUCCUACGGGAGGCAGCAGUGGGGAAUCUUGCGCAAUGGGCGAAAGCCUGACGCAGCGACGCCGCGUGAGGGAUGACGGCCUCGG
rnacentral:rRNA from 1 species